AUGUGACAAAACUUCCAGGAAGAUGCCCAACUAGAGUUGGCACCCACAGUAAUCUUGUGAGUGGAUCCCAUCAUUUGAACGGCAAUGUUUUCUCCAUUUAAUGUUGACUGUGGAUACUCACUGAGUAUAUUGAAGACCAAGAGAGGUAGAUUUCUGUCAUUGAGAAUCAGUGAGAGUGCUCCUAUUUUUCAUAUUCUUAUAAUAUUUAUCCACCAAAAUAUCUGAAGUGCUUUUCGUGUGUGGGAUUAUCCAUUAUAGACAAGCUUUUAUGCUUCUGAGAUAACUGACCCAAAACACCUCCCCAACGUGCAAAGUCCACCUCAAAGAAGGACAAGGACCAUGAGUAUAUUGGAGGAAGGCAAAAUCCUGUGGAUGCUGGAGAUCUGAAACAAAAGCAGUGCUGGAGACACUCCGACAGUCUCCGAGGAGAGAGAGGGGCAGGGUUAAUACUUCGAGUCUGCUAUGCCUCUUCUUCAGAUAUCAGAGCAUAUAGGGCUGACAUUUCCUCCAAUUUCCCCUUCAACUCAUCUAUUAUUCCAAUCUGGACAUAUGUCAUGAUUCCUUCACUGUUGCUGGGUCAAAACGCUAGAUCUCUGUCCCUGAACAGUAAUGUCAGUGUAAAUACACAACAUCUACAUUGCAGGGGAUGAAGGAGGCAGCUUACUGUCCUUUUCUCAAGGCCAGCCAAAGAUGAACAAAUGUUGGCCCAGUCAUGACACCCAUAUCCCAUGGCUGAAUUACCAAAGAUCAGCUACACUGAAUGUGUGUACAAUACUACCUAUUGUUCCUUGCGGAUUUAUUUUACAAUGUUUAUUGCUGCUAUCCUUUUAUCAAAUUAAAGUUUUA